rnacentral:rRNA from 1 species
GAUCAUGGCUCAGAACGAACGCUGGCGGCGCGUUUAAGCAUGCAAGUCGAGCGGCAAGGGCCGUCGGGCCCCUAGAGCGGCGGACGGGUGAGUAACACGUGGACAAUCUGCCCCCCGGCCCGGGAUAGCCCAAGGGAAACCUGGAUUAAUACCGGAUGAGACGGGACCCGCGAUGGCGGGAUCCGGGAAAGGCGCUGCGGCGCCGCCGGGGGAUGAGUCUGCGUCCCAUUAACUAGACGGCGGGGUAACGGCCCCACCGUGGCGACGAUGGGUAGCCGGCCUGAGAGGGUGGACGGCCACAUUGGAACUGAGACACGGUCCAGACUCCUACGGGAGGCAGCAGCUAAGAAUCUUCCGCAAUGGGCGAAAGCCUGACGGAGCCGACGCCGCGUGAACGAAGAAGGCCGUGAGGUUGUAAAGUUCUUUUCGGGAGGGGAACAACCGUGGCAGGGAAUGGCCGCGGGAUGACGUGAAUCCCGGAAUAAGCCCCGGCUAACUACGUGCCAGCCGCCGC